rnacentral:piRNA from 1 species
UAUAGUGUUUCCACUGUUGGUAUUUGUGAC